AAAAAAAAAUUUGAAAUAGCCAAAGUUUUUGAAAUAAAAACACUUCACUCUUUCUACCCGAAUAACUCUCUUUUUUUGGCAGAAACCCGAACAACUCUCCACUCUCACGCUUGCUGCCGAUCCACCAUCAGCAGAUCCAUGUCGCUGACCCAUGGCACCGACCCAACCCCAACGCCGAUCCUCGCUGCCGAUCCGCAAAGUCUCGGCCGCCGAUGCAUUUCCCCUUCCCCAGAUCAAUGUUGGGUGGCCGGAACGGUCUUGGGUUUGGUGUUGGGUGGCCGAAUCGGUGUUUUGAUCGCUUCAAAGGCGUUGAUUUGGAUGCCCUUCUCGACAUGUCCACCGACGACCUUGUCAAGCUCUUCACUGCCAGAGCUCGUAGAAGGUUUCAGAGGGGUCUGAAGCGACAACCCAUGGCUUUGAUCAAGAAAUUGCUCUUUAAAUUUUUAGAUAUUUUGAAAUUUUGGGUAUUUUGUUUCUGACAAUGUUGUUUGGGCUGUUUAUCAUGUUUGGGUGUCUGGAUAUGCUGGGUUUGGGUUGUGAUUGGUGUUUGGGUGGCUGAAUGUGCUAGGUUUGUUGGGUAGAGAGAGAGAGAGAGACAAUGGUGGGGUGGGGUGGCUGGUGGUUGUUGGCUAUAGCGGCGUUUUGAAACGCUACUAUAUUGGUGUCACAAUUUAAUUCCUCCAACAAAAAAUCAUUGUAAGCCCCUGUUCUCAUUGAACUUAAAACCAAAUCCUUAGGAAUUAUGCAAAGAGUAGUGUUUCUUAUACACAAAUUGUUUUACACAAACCCUAAAAAAAUACUAAAACUGUGAAUUAAAGUGAGAAAUUUGUAGAGCUAGACAUACCGUUCUUGGCGAAUGAUGCCCCAAAUGUGGGCCUUAACACUCUUUUUCUCGAUGUGAAGGGUUUGGGUCUCGUACUUGACAGUAACGGCAGUAUCAGUCUUGGACUCUUUGCGUUCGCAACGUUCCAGUAUCUGACACUUCCCAACCUCAAAAUCUCCUAUCAGCACCACCUUGAAUUCAUAGUCAAUCAUCUGUUCCGAAACUCCAUAUCCUUCUUUACCUUGGCUUGCCAUUUUCUUUCUAUUAUAAAAAAGCAAUUUGAGAGAGAGAGAGAGAGAGAGAGAGAGUAAUGAGUGUCUAAGCUAUACUUUAUGGAAGUUCAAGAAUCGGAAAGGAAGGGCUAUAUAUAUGCAUUUGUGUGAACUGUGCAAAGUGUGAUCGAUCCAAUUAUUUGGAAAAAAAUUUCCCUACAACGUUAUUCACUUC